rnacentral:rRNA from 1 species
UGGGGAAUUUUGGACAAUGGGCGCAAGCCUGAUCCAGCCAUGCCGCGUGCGGGAAGAAGGCCUUCGGGUUGUAUACCGCUUUUGUCAGGGAAGAAUUCCUUUGAGCUAAUACCUCGGGGGGAUGACGGUACCUGAAGAAUAAGCACCGGCUAACUACGUGCCAGCAGCCGCGGUAAUACGUAGGGUGCAAGCGUUAAUCGGAAUUACUGGGCGUAAAGCGUGCGCAGGCGGUUAUGCAGGACAGAUGUGAAAUCCCCGGGCUCAACCUGGGAACUGCAUUUGUGACUGCAUGGCUGGAGUGCGGAAGAGGGGAGUGGAAUUCCGCGUGUAGAAGUGAAAUGCGUAGAUAUGCGGAGGAACACCAAUGGCGAAGGCGGUCAACUGGGCCGGCACUGACGCUGAUGUGCGAAAGCGUGGGGAGCAAACA